UUGAAUUUAAUGUAGAGUUGGUUGUAGCUGGCCUAAUUAAUAAUUUGGGCAUGUGCACACCUUCUCUUUCAUCCACACACACCUGUGCACCUGUGAGACAGAGUGGGAAUUUUAAUUUAAUUUAAUUGGACCCUCUGUCUACUUAAUUCACACAAACUCUAUUUAUUAUAAAAUGAAUGUAAUUGAUGUAACGCAUCUAAUAC
rnacentral:misc_RNA from 1 species